rnacentral:rRNA from 1 species
GACGAACGCUGGCGGCGUGCCUAAUACAUGCAAGUAGGACGCAGUUGGGAACGGGAGAGUAACGCGUAGGUAACUACCUAUUAGAGGGGGAUAACUAUUGGAAACGAUAGCUAAUACCGCAUACUAGUAGAUGGACCUGCGUUGUAUUAGCUAGUAGGUAGGGUAAUGGCCUACCUAGGCAACGAGACAUAGCAGACCAGAGCGGGUGAUCGGCCACACUGGGACUGGGACACGGCCCAGACUCCUACGGAAGGCCGCAGUAGUGAAUCUUCGGCCAUGGGGGGAACCCUUACCGGGCAACGCCGCGUGAGUGAAGAAAGUUUUCGGAUCGUAACGCUCUGUUGUUAAGGAAGCGGUACUUAACCAGUAAGGCACGGCUAACUACGUGCCAGCAGCCGCGGUAAUAC